GGCGAUAUGGCCGAGCGGUCUAAGGCGCCAGAAUCAGGUGUACAGAGCUGUGCAAUCGAUACCUAUCUGGUCCGAAAGGGCGUGGGUUCGAAUCCCACUGUCGUCA
rfam:Trametes pubescens strain FBCC735 TRAPTBscaffold_1708, whole genome shotgun sequence.